UACGUAGGGUGCAGGCGUUAAUCGGAAUUACUGGGCGUAAAGCGUGCGCAGGCGGUCUUUUAAGUCAGAUGUGAAAUCCCCGGGCUUAACCUGGGAACUGCGUUUGAAACUGUCUGGCUUGAGGCCGGGAGAGGGUAGCGGAAUUCCCAGUGUAGCGGUGAAAUGCGUAGAUAUUGGGAGGAACACCAGUGGCGAAGGCGGCUACCUGGACCGGUUCUGACGCUGAGGCGCGAAAGCAUGGGGAGCGAACAGG
rnacentral:rRNA from 1 species